UUCAGUGAUCUCUGAGCUCCACCUUCUCCUUUGUCUCUUCACUUGUUCACAUGCUGGCAUUUACAAGUGUUUCAGGUUUGCUCCCUGAUGUUUUCUAGUUCAGUCUUCUUUGCUUUUUGGAGACUUUUGAGUUUGGAUGCAUAAGUUUGUCCGCCUGCCUGCCUGCUUCCUGUCAACUAUAAAUGUUGUUCCAACAGUGGGAGGUCGGAGGUCAUUCUGGAUCCUGAAAGAAUCUUCUGCCCUGAUCCCAGGUCCCCGAGGUCAAAGAUGGUGUGGAGAUAGCAGCUCUCCAGUUGCUGACAUGGAACAGUCCCUGGUCUUUGUUUCCUCUGGUGACAGGCAGAGCCGGAUGCUGGCUGUUUUCCCCUCCAGGUAGGUCAGAGAGCAGGGUCAGCUAGAGGCAGUGUCGGGCAAGAGUUGUGCAUCCCGCUCAACUCUGCACAAGACUGAGUCAGGGGUCUGCUGUUUGAUGUGAAAUAUUGGAGGGCUUUAAACACAAUUUCACCCAAACCCCUUGGCCUUCAUGUGCUAUGGCUCAACAGAAAAAAGGAGUUUGUGAAGGGGUCAAGGAGCACAUCAUCAUCAUCAUCAUUACCAUCUGACGUCAGACACCUUACCAAAGAGUGGCAGCUCCAGCCAUCGAAUGAAAGAGAAGUUUGGCCAAUCCUGUGAUACUAAAGGCGAUCCCGACUGCUGCCAAUUAACCAUUUAAAAGAAAAAUUGAGGCAUGCCCAUGUCUCUUAUCCUCCAAUUGAAAUGGAAACUAGAGUGACACUUCGGGAUUCAGACUAGUGGAGCCGGAUAUCGAACCACCGACCUUCUGGUGAUCCUGAGGCAAAGACCAAAGAAAAGGGCUUUGGCAGAUCUGUAGGUGUUUGGCUGAAGUAACUCUACCACAAUGUAAGGGCGUUCUGGCGAGGAGGUGCGGAGCGGCCCUUAAAUACUCUAGGGCCCGCAUCCUUCAGAGGCUGCAUUUGAAGGACGGUGGGAUCGCAGCGGCGCGGCUAGCCUGUCCAAUUUCGACCGGCUCCUCCAGAUGUGGCCGACAACUGUGUCCUUCCAUCCUCGAGAAAAAUCAAAGCUCCAAUGUGUGGAUGCAGCUCGGGGCCAACCUAUCCCAGGAUUCAUUGCACUUCAGUGACUUAUCAAAGAGGUAAUGGUGCCAGCAAGCGACGAGAUGUCCGAUGCGUGUUCACUCACCCGAACAGCGGUACACAUGUUAACACGCGCAUGCGAGGCGACAGCAAUAAUGGUGGGAUAAGCUGAUCAAGGAAAUCCUCUAUAGACCAGACAGUCUCAUUUUGGUUGAGCCGUCCCGGUCUACGCGGCCCACACAGACCACCUCCUUCGUGGGUCGCGUAGAACAAGUCCUCUGAAGAAGGCGACUCCUGAAACAGUGUUUAUCUCAAUUACAUACAUUUGGAAGUGUUGAAAUCUGUAUUUAUUACGAUUUGCUGAGAAAACACACUGAAUUUGAAAUUGAAAAGAGCAGUUUAUUUCAGGCAAACACUGAUAGGCGAGGUUGUUUAGUCCACUUGAGUUAUGUUUGAAAAACUGAUGAAAACACGGUCAUCUUGCGAAAACGCCCACAUGAGCAAGGUAAGAAACAAACCACAGAAGAUUCAGGGAUGAAAUUCCCUUUUUCUGUCAGAUGUGCUUCUCUCAUUGGUUUGACUGGAGAUGUGUUUAUUUCCAAUGACACCGACAAACCUCUUCUACUAUUACCUUGAAAUUAUUGCAGGGGCGAUGUUGAGUCUGAAGGAGAAGCACUUGUGCACAGCAACAGCUAUAAACAUCUUUUGAUUCGUCCCUUCCCCCUGAAGACAAUGUCCUUCUGUGACAAAUAUUUUUAUACAUUUAUUUUUGUCCGUUCACAUGAAGCACAUGCAUUUGAAUGCUGCUUCCAGGAGACGCCUCGACUCAUGUCAGGGUGGAAGAAAACCUCUAAACCCAGACUUUUUAUUUAUAUAUAUAGGAUCCUUUGAAUACAGAUGCAAUAUUGCAAUUUGUGAAUUUUAACAUUUACUUGUAAGAAUAUGAUCUAAUUUCAUCUGUGUAAAAAGCCUUUAGCACAGGGGGGAAUAUCAGGCGUCUGCCCUAUGAUUCAGUGGAAGCCGCAUUUGCAAUCAGUGUCAAAGCAGCAUCCAAAAUGCUAUAGGGGAUAACCUCAAACUAAUUCAUUUCAUGCAAAUUUUAGAAUCUGAAUAAUGUCGCAUGAAAGCAAGAAUAAUUCCGUGCCUUUUUGGAACGCAUGAACAGAUCCAUGCACGCCCCGUUUCCUCCCAUAACCCCACGCAUGUCCUCAUGUGUGCAGCUGGCUUCCCUCUGUUUUUAUUUACUGAUACAUCACGUCAUGUUGAGGAGCGAUAAAAUACAUAAGUAUUUACAGUUCUCACUUCUGUAAUGAAUUUGUUCCGUGACAAUGUAACGCUCAUUCGGCUUCAGUCCAGAUUUAGGUCAUCUGAGUUCAACAUUAGUUCUCAGUCACCAUAUCUGACCCUGUGGCAGCACAUACUAUGAUUCUUAAAGUUACUGUCAACGGACGAAAUCACACAGUUUGAGCCAAUUUCAGUGGCAACACAAUAACACAUCUCCAAUUGUAGUUUUGAAACAUUGGGAUUUGUUUGACAACAUAAAAAUUAUUUAUUAUUUAUUUAUACGUUAUGUUUACAUCUUCGUCUGAUUGUUUGUUAGACUAUAGUAUUUUGUGAGGGUGGGGCAUUAUGUAAGAACCCAUUCAUUGAAAUCAUGGGGAGGAUCCAGGAGUUUUUGUUUCAGCUUCUUUUACAUUGUGAAGCAGGGUGUUUUUUCACAGAUUUCUUGAAUGGAUUUUGAGAAAAAUAAAACAUGUUUCGAGGAUGCACGCUAAAUCCAUUCUUUGAAAAUUAAACAAUAUUUCAGUGGCAGUAUUUUAAAGGUAUUUGAAAAUAACAAUAACAAACUCUUGUAUGAAACAUUGGACUUCCCCUUGCCAAAUUAUUACAACAAAAUAACUUUUUUUUAAAAAUAACUUGUACUUUAAUAACACGCGUGCAUCUCUUUACCAGAGCCCAACUUAUCUUUUUAAGAGUUUCUCAAUUUGAAAGUCUCCCUCCAAUCAAUUCCUAUUUUCAUUUCACUUGAAGGCUGGUUUCACAUUCAUGUUGAAAGUUUCUCGGUGCCCACCUGAGUUUAACAUUUGUGUGGAUGAAGAUCAUUUUGCAACUUUACAAACUGAGACUCAAUCGUGGUCGAGUAUUCAACAUUUAAACGGUGUGAUGUGGAAACUUGAAGCUUCCAGUGCACUAAAGCUGAAGAUGUUUUUUUUUCAGUAGGAAACCUCGAGUCAAGUUAUUAAACUUUUGAAAUCCCAUUUGCAUGUGCAGAUUCAGGACUUCUCAAUGAAGCAGAGGGCUUAGAUGUCAUUUUAAGAAUCUUUUAACCAGAAAAUUGAAGUUGGUGCAACCUCAUCAGACAAAUAGAGGAUAGUUUUAAAUGUCUGAAAACAUUUCUGUUGAGGACCGUGUAUUUCUCUUUCUUUGUGCACAUUGUAUUAUGGUCUUAUGCAAAAUGCUUUGACAGAACGAGCGAGGAGCAACUCGACAGAGGAUGUAUGGCUCAGUAAAGUGACGGAUGAGGCCGACAGACUGAAAGAUGUCACGAGAGAUUCAGGGGUAAACAGAGCCGCACUGUGUAUAACCACAUUACUGCUGCCUUUAGUCUCACUGUCUGUCGUUUGAAAAGACGUUUUUACUAUGACGAAACAUUCAGUUUUAUAUUGCAUUUUUUGAUUUAGUAUCUGUAUAUGUUUGCUCUUCUUAUGAAUUGCUUCUACUCUUUUUUGCAUUUGAUUUACCCCCGAUGGAGCCGUCACAGAGAAUGAACCACUGUGCACUGUAGGUAUCGAUAGACAGAGGA